CCUACGGGAGGCAGCAGUGAGGAAUAUUGGUCAAUGGGCGCUAGCCUGAACCAGCCAAGUAGCGUGAAGGAUGACUGCCCUAUGGGUUGUAAACUUCUUUUAUAUGGGAAUAAAGUGCAGUAUGUAUACUGCUUUGCAUGUACCUUAUGAAAAAGGAUCGGCUAACGCCGUGCCAGCAGCCGCGGUAAUACGGAGGAUCCGAGCGUUUUCCGGAUUUAUUGGGUUUAAAGGGGGCGUAGGCGGGUUGUUAAGUUUGUGGUGAAAUGUUGCGGCUCAACCGUAAAACUGCAGUUGAUACUGGUAGUCUUGAGUACAGUAGAGGUAGGCGGAAUGCGUGGUGUAGCGGUGAAAUGCUUAGAUAUCACGAAGAACACCGAUUGCGAAGGCAGCCUGCUGGACUGUAACUGACGUUGAGGCUCGAAAGUGUGGGUAUCAAACAGGAUUAGAUACCCGGGUAGUC
rnacentral:rRNA from 1 species